rnacentral:tRNA from 1 species
UUGCGGGGUAGAGCAGCUUGGUAGCUCGCGAGGCUCAUAACCUUGAGGUCACGGGUUCAAAUCCCGUCUCCGCUAG